GUCGAGUGUGAUUUGCAAAUUUUUGAUUUUUUCGUUUGGAUACUGAUUUCGCUCAAGAAAAGCUAUAUUCCGCUCAAGAAAAGGUAUAAAUAGUAUUGGAUAAGUGACUCUAAGUCUUGCUAAAGGCUUAUUGAUCUCAGGUAUGUAUUAUUACUCUUUAUAUCAUAUAAUUAUAACGUCCAUCGACCCUAUUAUUUCAUUUUAUCUUGUGACUGUACUAGCCUGAACCAUGGCUGCUAAAAUUUGAAUUUGCGCGCGCGAGAUUUUAUAUAUUGAAAUUAUUUCAUUUCAAUGCUGCCAAAUAUUAGUUAAAACCAACAAUUCAAAUUUUGAAUAAGCACAUUAUAUAGUGCAUUAUUUGAAACAAUAUGUGAAAUGUGAUCAUGAAUGUAAAUAUGGGUUUGCUACAAAAUGGCUUGCAAGCCUAUUCAUACCAAAACAUGAGAAUUAUUUGAGAGUAUUAAUUAAAUUAUGUUCUUUUAAUCACCUCUCCCCUGGAAUGCCUGGAUUUCCAAGGUCUUUCAAGUCAUUGAGUGCCAGCUCUCUCCCCUUGACAAGUAAAAUCACCUAGGCAUUAAUUCUGCCUAGGGUUACUGGCCGGGUUAGACAGAGUAAAAUUAGUGGUGUUUUCACUACAAUUAAACCUCGACCUAGCCUUGGCCAGGCCAAGGUAUUUAAAAUGUGGCACGUUUACACCAUUACACUAUUUUUUUGAGACAGGCCCGCUUUGGCCUAGAAUUUUGUUAUUAAUUUUGUGUAUUUUUAUGUGUUGUGAUGUUGUCCGCUGGUUGUCUGCUAAUCUCUCACUGUGGACACACAUUGCCAUAAAAAUAAGGCCCCAGCCAGGGCCGAAAGUGUUUACAUUUACACAAGCUUAGGCCAGGUCUGUUGUAGUGAGCCCAGAUUUCCUGGCCUAGGUCAGGACUAGGGUGAUGCGGUUAUUCGGUUAGCCGAGACGGUUAUUUUUACAGAUCGGUUUCACGAGUCUUCUAAAUAUCAGAUAACCAACUAACCGAAAAACCAAUUCAAAAUAUAAAAUUUAAAAUAAAAAGACAAACAAGCGGGCUACAUGUGAUCAACAUACAACUAUAAGCAAGCUACGUUAUACUCUUUGGUGAUUACGCAAUUUAAAUCAAUGCUAGAAGCCUGGAAAAGCGCUGCGACUCAAAUGGCGGAUUAAAAGCGGAUCAAAACAAGCUGAAAGCUUCCGAUUUGAUUAGGUAAGAGAAAGGCGGACGUCUGCGAAGACGUCACAUGGAUAACACACAAGACAUGUUGUUUAUUUUUGUCAAAAUAAUUUCAUUGAUUAAAAGAGUCGGUUAUCUCGGUUAUUUUGUGACGAUUCUCGGUUUCGGUUAUUUUACGAAACCGCAUCACCCUAGUCAGGACAAGGCUAGGCCAUUUCCACAAGCCUAGGCUAAGGCCAAGUCGGUUGUACAGUAGACUUGUAGUGAGCCCAGAUUUCCUGGCCUAGGUCAGGACAAGGCUAGGCCAAAGUCUGUUUACACUGUCAAAAUGUUGGCCAAGGCUGGUAGUGUAAACAAGACUAUUGAAUGCAUCAAGGCACAUUACGACUAAAUGGUUAGUGUUUCCCACAAUAUGGUAAAAAAGUAUAAACUUUUGCUAGCUUGAGCUUGAAGGAUCUUCCAAGCUAAACCCUUCUAGAGUAUACCCUGUAUAUAUGUGCCUUUUUAUAUGAUAAUGGCACGAAUGGACAGUAGGUUAUAAUCCAGGAUGGUGUGUUUAAUAUAGACACAAUACACCCCACCUGGCAGGGAUGAUAGAGUGCUUAUAUUCAUGAGAGUUUCUUGUCCUGGCAGGUGGGAUCCUGUCUAGGCCAGAUAGAAGUAGAAUAAUUCACUAAACAGUUGAUACAGUUCAUAUUGCAAGCUGGGUCAUGCCGGCGGGAUCAUAAUAAUUACAAAGUGGCUACAUUAUGAUGUUUAUGAUGUUACUCUGAGUGUAUAUCCACACCGGGCAAGCUUGAAAAAUAUGCCUGACCACGGUGGGAAUCGAACCUACAACCUUUGGAAUACUAGCCUGGCAAUACUCUGCCAACUGAGCUAAGCGGUCAGAUCGGUUCGAAUAUGUGAUAUUUCGGAACAGAAUCUAGUUCCUUCGAUAAUCAAUGUAAUCGAAGGAACCAGAAAAAUCAUUACUGAUUAUUAGAUUACAUUGAUAUUGGAGGAAUUAGAUUCUGUUCCGAAAUAUCAAAAUACUGUAUUUGAAUCAAUCUGUCCCCGUAGGUCAGUUGGCAGAGCAUUGGGCUAGUAUUCCAAAGGUCAUAGGUUCGAUUCCCACCAUGGUCAGGCAUAUUUUUUAAUUACGCUUGCCCGGUGUGGAUAUAUACUCAGCGUAACAUCACAAGCAUCAUAUUCCUGACUACAUGACACCAACACAGAAAAAUCAUUACUGGCUACAGUAUAUCUACAGGUCCUUAAACAGACUUUGCCAGGCUAUAUUUACAGGCUUACAGCACUCUUACGUACUAAACCAGAACAAUAAAAUUUAUUGUUAAUGAAGGAUUUCAGCGAGCUCAAAAAUUGUCUGGCAUUAGACAGAGUACAAUAAUCUGGCAUUUAAAAGACAGUAAAAUAAGGAAGUGGGACACACAAGGGUACAAUACAACUUAAUGGGUUCACUAGACACAUGGCCAUAUUAACCCAACAAAACAGGAAUACCCUGUACUUCUCAAGAAGUUUGGCAGGUCAUUAAGAUGGGGAGUUAACUGGAUAUUAUACUAGGCUGGACAUGGCAUAAGCUGCAUUGUGCCACCACUUUAUUCUUUUACUGUGUCUGAUGGGUCGUUCCAGAAAAGAUCCACUCUCCCCUGGGCACAGAGGAAAUUUCAACCGUCCGGAGGGGAGGCGAGGGGAGAAAAAAUUGUUUCUGAAGUGUAUAAGGACAUUCGAGUUUUGAAGGGGAUAGGGGGUUAACUUCCAAUUUCCUUCAUGGGGGAGGUUAGGUAUCGAUGUUCUCUGGAAUGACCCAACCUAAUUUCUCUUGUUAACCCAUUCACUGGCAAUAUGCUCUACUUUAUAUUACUCUGUCUAAUGACAGGAAAUUUUACAGUUUUACUUGUUGAGAAGAUAGCCUUGCAGCAGUUUCCAAUUUGCCAUGUAUCGUCCACACAGAGAAUACAUUACUGGGGACGAGUCAGGGUACAAGCCAUAUGAACCAAGGGUUAUCACUAGAACCAACUUCCACCAAGGGUUGGGUUGUGCUACUACAUUAGGUCUUCCCAUUCGUAAUAAGGUGCAAAGUUUAUAGGUUGGAUAGGAGGAAAUUGCUCAUAUUGCUGCAUGUGAACUGUGGACUUGUGCUAGAUACUGUAAUGUUAACUGACUGUGGAGUUCCAGUACCGGUACAUGAAAUACAGUAUGUACAGCUAAUGAUAGUCUUGUAUUUCCUUUCUUGUAGCUCAUGUGACUAGACGUUUUGCGGGAGCAACAGCCACAUCAGUGAAAGCUGCCAUGGCCCAAAAGUGCAAAGACAAAAGAAAUGCUGAUACGAAGAAAAGAAAAUUUGCAAAAGACAUUUGAACUGCUAAGUUUUUUCCUUUAUUAUAAAUUAUUUUGUAUGUUAGCUAAACAUUUGUAGAUAUUAACUGUAUAAAUAAAUUAUUUAAACUUCCUACAGUAUAUAUACCAUCACUGCAGUAUCUCACUGUUUGACAGGUUUAACUGUGCAUGAUUGAAGCUUUGCAUAAUUUCAC
rnacentral:lncRNA from 1 species